rnacentral:lncRNA from 10 species
CAUCCUCUCUCCAAAUGUCUCUGAAAAACACUGGAUGAUCAACUAAAACUCAGAGAGGAUUAGUAACUGCCUAGGUUACACAUUAAGGAGCAAAUAGAGAUUUUGCCAAAGGCAGACAGAUUCCUGUGUUCUUAACCACAGAAACCUUGGCUAUUCUCUCUCUUCUCAUUCAUAAAAACACUAUCCCUAAUUGUUUGUUUUGCUACAUAAUCUCCCUUUCUAAAUCUAAAACAGAUAAGAGAUUUGUAGAUAGGAUGGAAAAUGAGCUGUUCAUGACUGGCCACUAAUUAAUUUUGGUAAAUGGAAAGAAGGAAUUAACUUCUCCAACUGAAAUCCAAAGCAAAAGAGCCGAAAUGCAGUAGAGUGGGAAACGAAUAAGAUUUAAGAGUAAAAGCUUUCUCUUAGGCAGACAGUCAUGACAAGCAAAUCCUAAGACUGCACCUGACCGAGUCAAUAUUUGCUCAUUCAACACUACUUCUACUUGUUCAUUACAAGGGUUUAUCUGGAAGGUUACAGAUAAAUCAGUUACUGAAUCCAUAUGAGCACUGCC